rnacentral:rRNA from 1 species
AGCUUGUUGGUGAGGUAACGGCUCACCAAGGCGACGACGGGUACCGGGACUGAGAGGUUGACCCGGCGCAUCGGGACUGAGACACUGCCCGGACUCCUACGGGAGGCUGCAGUAACGAAUAUUCCGCAAUGGGCGAAAGCCUGACGGAGCGACGCCGCGUGUGGGAGGAAGCCCUUCGGGGUGUAAACCACUGUCAGGGAUUACCAAGCAAAGUUGGCGAAUAGCCUUCUGCGUUGAGGCGUCCCAGAGGAAGCCACGGCUAACUUCGUGCCAGCAGCCGCGGUAAUACGAAGGUGGCGAGCGUUGUUCGGAAUCACUGGGCUUAAAGGGCACGCAGGCGGACUGUCAAGCGUCUUGUGAAAGCCCCCGGCUUAACCGGGGAAUUGCUGGGCGAACUGGCAGUCUUGAGGCAGGUAAGGGCGAGCGGAACUCUUGGUGGAGCGGUGGAAUGCGUAGAUAUCAAGAGGAACGCCGGAGGCGAAAGCGGCUCGCUGGGCCUGACCUGACGCUGAGGUGCGAAAGCCAGGGGAGCGAACGGGAUUAGAUACCCCGGUAGUCCUGGCCAUAAACGAUGUCCACUAGAUCGGUGAACUUCUGACAGUGCGCCGGUCGAAACAAAAGCGUUAAGUGGACCGCCUGGGGAGUACGGUCGCAAGGCUAAAACUCAAAGGAAUUGACGGGGGCUCACACAAGCGGUGGAGCAUGUUGCUUAAUUCGAUGCAACGCGAAGAACCUUAUCCUGGACUUGACAUGUUAGGAUGCCUCCCUGGAAACAGGGUUGGUUGCCCUUCGGGGUGAAACUUUCACAGGUGCUGCAUGGCUGUCGUCAGCUCGUGUCGUGAGAUGUUGGGUUAAGUCCCGUAACGAGCGAAACCCUUGUCGUUAGUUGCCAGCGCGUAAUGGCGGGGACUCUAGCGAGACUGCCGGUGUUAAACCGGAGGAAGGUGGGGAUGACGUCAAGUCCUCAUGGCCUUUAUGUCCAGGGCUGCAAACGUGCUACAAUGGCGUGUACAAACCGACGCAAGACCGCGAGGUGGAGCAAAUCGGAAAAAGCACGCCCCAGUUCGGAUUGGAGUCUGCAACUCGACUCCAUGAAGUCGGAAUCGCUAGUAAUCGCGUAUCAGCUCGACGCGGUGAAUGUGUUCCUGAGCAUUGUACACACCGCCCGUCAAGUCAUGGAAGCUGGGAGCGCCCGAAGUCGGC